rnacentral:lncRNA from 1 species
UUCACCAAAAAAUGUCUGGCCACGAAAUCAAGAGUCUUCAGUGAAGAGAUCACUACCGGCUUUAAAGGAGUGGUGGCAUCACAGUUGGAAAUAUUUCUAUACAUCUAUUAAAUAAAAUCAGCCUUCAUGGUAUAUAAUUGCAGCCUAUGUUGAUUUUCAGCUCCAUCCACAUCUUAUUUUGCGGCUUAUAGAAUUAGAUAUAAUAAGAAUAGCAAUUGGUGAUCAUCAUCAUGCAGCUAUCCUUUCCAGUAGAUAUAACAAGAACGGCAAUCGGUGAUGGUCACCAUCCAGUUAUCCUCUUUAAUAGACGUAACAAAAUGGCAGUCAGA